rnacentral:tRNA from 1 species
AAUAAAGUGUCUGAUUUAAGUAUUAAAUUGUAAAUUUAAUUAAGGGAUAUUUUAUCCUCUUUAUAA